ACUGGUGUCAGCCGCCGCGGUAAUACCAGCUCUCCGAGUGGUAGGGACGAUUAUUGGGCCUAAAGCGUUCGUAGCCGGCUUGGCAAGUCUCUCGUUAAAUCCAGUGACCUAAUCGCUGGGCUGCGGGAGAUACUGUCAGGCUUGGGAGCGGAAGAGGUCGACGGUAUUCUCGGGGUAGGGGUGAAAUCCUGUAACCCCGGGAGGACCACCAGUGGCGAAGGCUGUCGACUAGAACGCGUCCGACGGUGAGGGACGAAAGCUGGGGGAGCGAACCGGAUUAGAUACCCGGGUAGUCCCAGCUGUAAACUAUGCGGGCUAGGUGUCAGUGUGGCUACGAGCCACUCUGGUGCCGCAGGGAAGCUCAUAA
rnacentral:rRNA from 1 species